rnacentral:rRNA from 1 species
UACGUAGGUGGCAAGCGUUGUCCGGAUUUAUUGGGCGUAAAGGGGGCGCAGGCGGUUACUUAAGUCUGAUGUGAAAGCCCACGGCUCAACCGGGGAAGGUCAUUGGAAACUGGCAAGCUUGAGUGCAGCAGAGGCGAGUGGAAUUCCACGUGUAGCGGUGAAAUGCGUAGAGAUGUGGAGGAACACCAGUGGCGAAGGCGACUCUCUGGUCUGUAACUGACGCUGAGGCGCGAAAGCUUGGGGAGCGAACGGG